GAUGAACGCUGGCGGCGUGCUUAACACAUGCAAGUCGAACGGAAAGGCCCAAGCUUGCUUGGGUACUCGAGUGGCGAACGGGUGAGUAACACGUGGGUGAUCUGCCCUGCACUUCGGGAUAAGCCUGGGAAACUGGGUCUAAUACCGGAUAGGACCACUUCUUGGAUGUUGUGGUGGAAAGUUUUUCGGUGUGGGAUGAGCUCGCGGCCUAUCAGCUUGUUGGUGGGGUAAUGGCCUACCAAGGCGUCGACGGGUAGCCGGCCUGAGAGGGUGUACGGCCACAUUGGGACUGAGAUACGACCCAGACUCCUACGGGAGGCAGCAGUGGGGAAUAUUGCACAAUGGGCGCAAGCCUGAUGCAGCGACGCCGCGUGGGGGAUGACGGCCUUCGGGUUGUAAACUACUUUCGCUAGGGACGAAGCUUAUUUUGUGACGGUACCUGGAGAAGAAGCACCGGCUAACUACGUG
rnacentral:rRNA from 1 species